AAAUGGCGGCGGCAGCGGUGUCGCUUUGUUUCAGCGGCUCCUGCGGCGGUGGCAGUGGUAGCGGCCUUUGAGCUGUGGGGAGGUUCCAGCAGCAGCUACAGUGACGACUAAGACUCCAGUGCAUUUCUAUCGUAACCGGGCGCGGGGGAGCGCAGAUCGGCGCCCAGCAAUCACAGAAGCCGACAAGGCGUUCAAGCGAAAACAUGACCGCUGAGCCCAUGAGUGAAAGCAAGUUGAAUACAUUGGUGCAGAAGCUUCAUGACUUCCUUGCACACUCAUCAGAAGAAUCUGAAGAAACAAGUUCUCCUCCACGACUUGCAAUGAAUCAAAACACAGUCUACCCUAAAGUUUGUCCAUCUUUUCUUCCCCCACAGAUAAAAUCAGUGGUUCUGGAAGUAACUCUGAUAUGAUGGAAAACAGCAAGGAAGAGGGAACUAGCUCUUCAGAAAAAUCCAAGUCUUCA
rnacentral:sRNA from 1 species